AGGGGCGUAGCUCAAUUGGCAGAGCAGCGGACUCCAAAUCCGCAGGCUGGGGGUUCAACUCCCUCCGCCCCUGCCA
rnacentral:tRNA from 2 species